UACACCAAAUAGGUCAAGCAAAGGCAAUGUAUGUAUAGGUCUUCUAUUAGGCAAUGAAACCAAUCGUGACAGCCAGAAAGAGGCAACGUGCCACAUGCCCACAUUUAGAUGGUGUCUUUGUCUCCCCAAAAGCACGAGCACGUUGAAAUUGCAGAAAGGAAGCUGAUAUACAUUUCACCGUACCCUGUCUCCCCCAAAGGCCAAGGCUGGAGUUGGGCAAAUGGCGGCCAUCAAUGCAACUCAUGGGAAUCUUGAUUUCCCUCCACAUCCUUGUGCUCUCUUUUAAGGGCAAACUUCUUUGAGCAGCUCACAUCAUCUAGGUCUGCAGACCAUAGCGUCCUCUCGCACGUUACUCUCUACAUCCAACCAAGCCUCCAAGGAAAGGGAUGAACAAAGAUGGGGAGUGCAAUAAUGGUUUUGGUACUCAAGGAGAAAAAAGAAGGUGAUCCUAUAAAAAGGUGCUCGAUUCAUCAAAGCUUCACAACCGGAACUUGGAGAGGAGAAAAAAUCAUCAAGGAACAAGAAAAGGUACUCACACUCAUGGGUGGCCUCUAGAUGGGUGACAACGCUGAGGAUCAAGUGAAGCCAUAUGCUAGAGAUGUUACCGCUGUCGAGUCCAACAAACUGAGGUGCUGAUGAGCGAAAUCCAGCUGAUGCUGCUUCCACCACUUUGUUUAUAUAUGUGGUGCAACCUAUAUGUUUACACUUUCCAGUAAGUUGAUUAUGUUCAGAUGUUGGCUAGUUAAUUAGGUAUGCCGAUUCCACCUAAUACACCACAAGGAUUUAGUCUUGACUAAAUGAUGCUAGCAAGUUAAUAUGUUACUGCUCUCUGCCCGAAAAAUACAUGAAUGGCAUUCUAAUUUUUACAUAAGUCAAAUUAAGUUUUAUCAAGUUCACACGGAGCAAUACUGAUAUUUAUAUUGCCAAAUAAGUACAUCAGAUUCAUCAUGAAACAUA